AGUGGCGAAAGGGUGUGUAACACGUGGGUAACCUGCCCUUAAGAUGGGGAUACUCCCGAGAAAUUGGGGACAAUACCGAAUACAAUUCCAAGGUAAAGGCUUUGGGAUGAAAGCUGCGAGCAAUCGUGGCGCUUUUGGAGGGACCUGCGUCCUAUCAGCUAGUUGGUGAGGUAACAGCUCACCAAGGCAAAGACGGGUAGCCGGACUGAGAGGUUGAUCGGCCACACUGGAACUGAGACAAGGUCCAGACUCCUACGGGAGGCAGCAGUGAGGAAUUUUGCGCAAUGGGCGAAAGCCUGACGCAGCGACGCCGCGUGAGGGAAGAAGGCCCUCGGGUUGUAAACCUCUUUCGUGAGGGAAAAAGUCCCGAGCAAUCGGGGUGAUGGUACCUCAGGAAGAAGCCACGGCUAACUCUGUGCCAGCAGCCGCGGUAAGACAGAGGUGGCAAGCGUUGUUCGGAUUUACUGGGCUUAAAGGGCGUGUAGGCGUCCUGAUAAGUCAGAUGUGAAAGCCUUAGGCUCAACCUAAGAAUUGCAUUUGAAGCUGUCAGGAUUGAGUCAGGCAAGGGAGGGUGGAAUUCCUGGUGUAGCGGUGAAAUGCGUAGAUAUCAGGAGGAAGGCCGGUGGCGAAGGUGGCCCUCUAGGCCAUGACUGACGCUGAGGCGCGA
rnacentral:rRNA from 1 species